rnacentral:lncRNA from 1 species
UUUAGAUGAGAUGGUGAAGGAGAACAUGCAUGAGUGGGUAGCAUUUGAGCAGAAGUUUAAACAGGAAGAAGCCAGCCCUGCAGAGGUUCGUGAGACAUGAUUCCAGGUAGAGGCAAAUGCAAGUGCAAGGGACCUAAGGCAGGAAGAUGUGCAAGAGAAACCGAAAGAAGAACAUGUGGCUGGAGUGUGAUAAACAAUGGGAAAAGUAGCACUGUAAUAGGAGAUGAAGGAACAGAGCUUUUGGAAGUGACACUGUGAGCAUGGUUUCAUUGACAGUGGAGUCUGAGAGAAUAUAGUAUA